rnacentral:rRNA from 1 species
GAGUUUGAUCCUGGCUCAGAGCGAACGCUGGCGGCAGGCCUAACACAUGCAAGUCGAACGGAUCCUUCGGGAUUAGUGGCGGACGGGUGAGUAACACGUGGGAACGUGCCCUUUGGUUCGGAACAACUCAGGGAAACUUGAGCUAAUACCGGAUGUGCCCUUCGGGGGAAAGAUUUAUCGCCAUUGGAGCGGCCCGCGUCUGAUUAGCUAGUUGGUGAGGUAACGGCCCACCAAGGCGACGAUCAGUAGCUGGUCUGAGAGGAUGAUCAGCCACACUGGGACUGAGACACGGCCCAGACUCCUACGGGAGGCAGCAGUGGGGAAUCUUGCGCAAUGGGCGAAAGCCUGACGCAGCCAUGCCGCGUGAAUGAUGAAGGUCUUAGGAUUGUAAAAUUCUUUCAGCGGGGACGAUAAUGACGGUACCCGCAGAAGAAGCUCCGGCUAACUUCGUGCCAGCAGCCGCGGUAAUACGAAGGGGGCUAGCGUUGCUCGGAAUUACUGGGCGUAAAGGGCGCGUAGGCGGAUGUUUAAGUCAGAGGUGAAAGCCCAGGGCUCAACCUUGGAACUGCCUUUGAUACUGGACAUCUUGAGUAUGGGAGAGGUGAGUGGAACUCCGAGUGUAGAGGUGAAAUUCGUAGAUAUUCGGAAGAACACCAGUGGCGAAGGCGACUCACUGGCCCAUUACUGACGCUGAG